GAUGAACGCUGGCGGCGUGCCUAAUACAUGCGAGUCGAGCGAACAGACGAGGAGCUUGCUCCUCUGACGUUAGCGGCGGACGGGUGAGUAACACGUGGAUAACCUACCUAUAAGACUGGGAUAACUUCGGGAAACCGGAGCUAAUGCCGGAUAACAUGUUGAACCGCAUGGUUCAACAGUGAAAGACGGUCUUGCUGUCACUUAUAGAUGGAUCCGCGCCGCAUUAGCUAGUUGGUAAGGUAACGGCUUACCAAGGCAACGAUGCGUAGCCGACCUGAGAGGGUGAUCGGCCACACUGGAACUGAGACACGGUCCAGACUCCUACGGGAGGCAGCAGUAGGGAAUCUUCCGCAAUGGGCGAAAGCCUGACGGAGCAACGCCGCGUGAGUGAAGAAGGUCUUCGGAUCGUAAAGCUCUGUUAUUAGGGAAGAACAAAUGUGUAAGUAACUAUGCACGUCUUGACGGUACCUAAUCAGAAAGCCACGGCUAACUACGUG
rnacentral:rRNA from 1 species